ensembl:lncRNA
GGUGGAAGCUGAAUUAGUGAGGAUGACUCCUGCUCCUGUCAUCUCUAAGCUCCUCACACAUCUUUACCUGCACAUGAGGAAAAUCACUCCUGUAGAAUGCAGUGGUUCAUCAGAACCUCUGGGGAUGUCCUGUGGAUUCUGUGGAUCCUGUGGGUUGCAGGGUGGGUCCUACCUAGACCAGGCUGAUCCUGGACCAUCCCACAGAUGCUCCAUCAGAUCUGGAUGUGGGGAGUGUGGAACCCAGAUGUUCAGAGGGAGAUGAUGCCACAUCUGGUCCAGCUGAUGGAAGGUCUUGAAGUUCUCUGACUGGCCUCGACUGAAGAUGGUCGUCUCACUGGAUUUAAGAUGCACAAUGAGGGACGUCUGCAGAGACUGAGAAAGAGUCUCACCACAUCCUGACAUGAGGAAAAAGACUUUAUUGAAGACUACAAUGAGAAAAACUAUCAGACAGCAGACGGCUGCAUUCAAGCUGCUGAAUUCAUGGAUGAAUCAUCUGGCACUAGAGAAGAAGACCAUCAAACAUCCACGUCAGCUGAUGGAGGUCCAAGAGUCUCACUGAACAACCAACCUACAGAGUGAAGACCUCGAAUCUGAUUGGACGGCCUCCUAUUCAG